rnacentral:lncRNA from 1 species
CUCGCCUCUCCUCCAUCUCUCUCUCUACCUCUCCCCCUUCCUCUCCCUCUCCCCCUCUCCCUAAAAUAAGACUAUCUCUUCCCAAAACUCUAGAAAACCAGACAACAACAUUAAGUUCUCAUCAAUGAUUUAUGCCGGCUACAGUGGUAUAUCUACUGUCUUCAGAGAUAAGCACGGCGGUGGUACUAGAUUUGAGUCGACUAUUUUCGAUCAAAUCUGAGUAAUUAUCGUAGUUUGUAAGUGCUCAGAGUUCUCAUCAAUCUUUUAAGAAAAAAUGUUGAUAGAGAAAUUUUUUUAUUUAAAAACCUCCAAACCCAUUAAUGGUGAAUUACAAAUUUUAGAAGUAGUAAAUAUGUUUAGGUUUGGAUCCUUGAAUCACCCAAACUUUUUUAGAUUAGCAAACCUCACAUAUCAAUGGUAAAGAACAUAAAGAACUAGUGAUGACGAGUAAUUAAGUUGCUCUUCUUCUUCCUCCUUUUCUUCUUCUUCCUCCUCUUCUUCCACUUUCUCUUUAUCUUCUUCUUCCUCUUCUUCUUCUUAUUCUUCCUCUUCUUCUUUAUGGAUGCAUUGUAUUAAAUAUUUCAAAUACACAACUUCUUCUUCUUCUUCCUCUUCCUCCUCUUCUUCUUCUCUUCUUCUUCUUUAUGGAUGCAUUGUAUUAAAUAUUUCAGAUACACAAACCUUAAAUAGUCUAGAUACACAUUUUAUAUAAUUUAAGAUACACAGAGCUAAAAUUAUUACAGAUUCACAAAGAUUAAAAUAUUUCAAAUAUACAGACCUUUAUUAGUUCAUAUACACAUUAUUCUAUUUUGGGAUCUGAGAUACAUUUUUCUCAUUCCAUCCUCGUUUGAUUUCAGCCUCCUUCAUUUUCUCCUCCUCCUUCUUCUUCUCGGAUACAUUAUAUUAAAUAUUUCAUAUAUACAAACCUUGAAUAGUCCAAAUACACAUCUUAUAUAGUUUAGAUACACAGAGCUAAAAUCAUUUCAGAUACACAAAGAUUAAAAUAUUCCAGAUACAC